UAGCAGAGGUCUUCAAGCGUUUGUUCGGAUUCAUUGGGCGUAAAGGGUGCGUAGGCGGCGCGGUAAGGUCGGGUGUGAAAUCUCGGGAGCUUAACUCCGAAACUGCAUUCGAUACUGCCGUGCUUGAGGACUGGAGAGGAGACUGGAAUUUACGGUGUAGCGGUGAAAUGCGUAGAUAUCGUAAGGAAGACCAGUGGCGAAGGCGGGUCUCUGGACAGUUCCUGACGCUGAGGCACGAAGGUCAGGGGAGCAAACGGG
rnacentral:rRNA from 1 species